GGACGAUUAGCUCAGUUGGGAGAGCACCGCCCUUACAAGGCGGGGUCACUGGUUCAAGCCCAGUAUCGUCCACCA
rnacentral:tRNA from 2 species